rnacentral:rRNA from 1 species
AGCGAACGCUGGCGGCAGGCCUAACACAUGCAAGUCGAACGAACCUUUCGGGGUUAGUGGCGGACGGGUGAGUAACACGUGGGAACGUGCCUUUAGGUUCGGAAUAACUCAGGGAAACUUGUGCUAAUACCGAAUGUGCCCUUCGGGGGAAAGAUUUAUCGCCUUUAGAGCGGCCCGCGUCUGAUUAGCUAGUUGGUUGAGGUAAUGGCUCACCAAGGCGACGAUCAGUAGCUGGUCUGAGAGGAUGAUCAGCCACAUUGGGACUGAGACACGGCCCAAACUCCUACGGGAGGCAGCUGUGGGGAAUCUUGCGCAAUGGGCGAAAGCCUGACGCAGCCAUGCCGCGUGAAUGAUGAAGGUCUUAGGAUUGUAAAAUUCUUUCACCGGGGACGAUAAUGGCGGUACCCGGAGAAGAAGCCCCGGCUAACUUCGUG